GGUAAGGAGGAGAAAAGAAAGAAAGAAAAAUUGGAAAGAUAAAUGGGGUCUUCCAGUGAAGGCCUUUGCACUUGGACUGGAACUAAACCAUCUGAUCUUCUUGUUCUACCACUUGCAGACUGUAUAUCUUGGGACAUUCCACCCUCUGUAAUCACAUCAACCCUGCCCUGUGGUUCCAGAAGCUGACAUUUUUGAAUUUAACUAAUAGGACAUCUUGCCCUCUGGACUGAGAUGGAUUUCAACCAAUAGCUGCAGUUAUGGCAUUAACCUCCCAGUUGUUACCUACUUCUAGAUGAAACAGAAGAAAAAGCUCCACUUCUGGAUUUGUUUUGUUAUGCCCAGACCGUUUGUUCCCCAAAGAAGACCACCAGAGUCCAGAGUCAAAGCCAAGCGGCAAG